rnacentral:lncRNA from 1 species
AUUAGACUUAUGAAAACUCUCAACCACAUUAGUGUCUAGACCAAAAAUAGAGCCCAAAUACAAAUAUUGUCUUAGUUUAACAUGAAAUCUAGAACACUUGAAGCGAAAACACAAAACUGAAACUUAUUCUACUACAUAUUUCAUCAUCCAGCAAUUUAACUUCCAUAACUAACCAGGAGAUUUGAAUCAGAAUGCAAUAGCUGAUCCAGAUAGCCAUUCCAAAUCAAUUUUCUAUUCAAAGAACCAUGUAUUCAAUCAAAACAUAUUCUUAGCACGUCACCAACAUGACUUUAUGCAACUAGGAGAUAAAUUAGGAAGUUGGACGAAAUACCUAGUUUGCAGAAGUAGAAAGAAACAUAGUCCAGUGACAGAACGACAAGCAAUUUCGGUUAGGGCGAACCAGCAACAGCAGUAAAAUCAACACCAGAAGUGAACUCAAAAGCUAAUCCAGGGAAUCAACCAUGUGUUUAGACCAAAAACAAACAAAGGAAAACGAGACUCUUGAUGUUUUUCUUGCCAAAAACCUAUUGUAUGUUGAACACUUAGUAAAAUUGUUCUCUGAUUCUUUCUCCUAUUUGUGUGUAGAUAUGAGUUAAACUGAUCUUCCCCCCNN